rnacentral:rRNA from 1 species
AUUGAACGCUGGCGGCAGGCCUAACACAUGCAAGUCGAGCGGAUGAAGGGAGCUUGCUCCUGGAUUCAGCGGCGGACGGGUGAGUAAUGCCUAGGAAUCUGCCUGGAAGUGGGGGAUAACGUCCGGAAACGGGCGCUAAUACCGCAUACGUCUUGAGGGAGAAAGUGGGGGAUCUUCGGACCUCACGCUAUCAGAUGAGCCUAGGUCUGAUUAGCUAGUUGGUGGGGUAAAGGCCUACCAAGGCGACGAUCCGUAACUGGUCUGAGAGGAUGAUCAGUCACACUGGAACUGAGACACGGUCGAGACUCCUGCGGGAGGCAACAGUGGGGAAUAUUGGACAAUGGAGGAGAGCCUGAUCCAGCCAUGCCGCGUGUGUGAAGAAGGUCUUCGGAUUGUAAAGCACUUUAAGUUGGGAGGAAGUGCAGUAAGUUAAUACCUUGCUGUUUUGACGGUACCAACAGAAUAAGCACCGGCUAACUUCGUG